UACGGGGGGAGCAAGCGUUGUUCGGAAUUACUGGGCGUAAAGGGCUCGUAGGCGGCCAACUAAGUCGGAUGUGAAAUCCCCAGGCUUAACCUGGGAACUGCAUCCGAUACUGGAUGGCUUGAAUCCGGGAGAGGGAUGCGGAAUUCCAGGUGUAGCGGUGAAAUGCGUAGAUAUCUGGAGGAACACCGGUGGCGAAGGCGGCAUCCUGGACCGGUAUUGACGCUGAGGAGCGAAAGCCAGGGGAGCAAACGGG
rnacentral:rRNA from 1 species